rnacentral:tRNA from 1 species
CAUUUUUGAGUAAUAAAUAUGUAUACUAAAUAUAACAGGGAUAUAAUACUCCCCUCAAAACAAA